UUUCGCUGUAAAAUUUCCCGUAAUUCACGAUAGCGAUACACAAGUCUAAGAGCCAUUUUGAAAAGGGAUAUAACUUUCAUCUACCGAAAACAAGUUUCACAUUGUCGUCCUAUGCUUCUUAUCCAAAAUUUAUAAACGAAAACCGAGUUGCUGUGGACGCUCGUAAGUUAGUCACUUGCUAGUCGUCAGCUACGCCAACCCCCUGGUUGGACUAAAGUUACGCCCGAGCUGCGGACUAAAAUUCGCCUAGUCGGGAGCAGUGCAACGGUCGUAAAUUUAGUCGGGUACUAUACCCCUGCUACGUCCCGACUAAGGCCUUGCGCCCGAGCAAUGCAACCGGGUCCAGACUUCACCCCCAUAGCUACAGCAAGCAGCAGACUCAGCACUCAAGCCGACGUCGCGUGACGUAGCAAGAGCGUGACGUCAGGCGCUGCUACAGUCAGCGGGAGAAAGAAAUGACGUUUCCCCGCGAAUCGGAUAAAAAUAGCCUGAAAAAAAACGUCAUGCGUCGUCUGCUGCAAACACUGAGAGAAAGGCAGACCUAGAACAAAGUAUGACACGCGACACACCGACCGCCAUUGAGUUCUAGAAGCUUUAACAUUUCAUACCUGCGGCUGUCUUUUCUGUCUUUACCAAUCUCCGUUUCUAUCAGCUCCUUUGCUUCAAAGUUGAUAUUGCAGUGAGACGCAUCAUACACUGAACCAUGCGAGUCAAGUGUAGCAAGCAACUGAUUGUCUUGCCUGUCACUACAGUGGUCAUGACUGUCUUCAUGUACUUCAUCUUUCUAUUUAAUUCUUUCCAUGAUUUGAAAGUUCCAAAGAUGGAGCCAACGACUCGCAGGACCAAGCCUUUAGCACAGGAGGCCACGAUGGUUGAGAUCUUCCCUGACUGGACUACUGACGACCCACACGACGCGGUUCCGGUCAAGCGUGUCUACCUGUACUCAGCCACCCUCACCAUCCACCACACGCCACCCAAUGGCAGCCACAUCCGCCUCACAGCCUUCCAGGAGAAGAGGGUGGGUCAGCUGACGUGCUGCCUCCGUCGCCAUGGCAGCGCCACUGUUACGGCACCAGCCCCCAUCAUUCACUCUCUGGACGACCCCGACAACGUCAACGACACGAAGAAGGUGUUCGCGGUGGUGUAUCAGUGUCACGUGCCUUUUUCACCUCUAGAGUUGACCGGGGCAUGCGUCACUGUGACCCCUGACCCUGCCUGUCCAGUGGAGGACAACUACUACAUACCAGUGUAUACCCCGGAGGUUGUGAAAGGAGGACUAGCCAUCUGCGGCAAAGUAGCCUUCGGUAGUUUGCUGGAUCCUCUGAAGCUAGUGGAAUGGUUUGAAAUGCAGAGGCUGCUUGGUGUGGACAAAAUCCAAAUACUGGACUUUGGAAAUCCCGAGAAUGUGAGCAGGGUGUUCGAAUAUUAUCAGAAUACCGGCUUGCUGUCUUUUUUCCCGUAUAAACUUCCAGGUCGUCCAUGGGGUCGAGGUUUUACUGAUGAAACAAGAGUUCUUGACCAACUGCCCCAGGAUGAAAAUUUCCCUUUUCUCGAAUGCCGUCUUCGAUUGGCUGGCUAUGAUUAUGUCAUGAGCAUCGACAUGGAUGAAAUCAUUUUACCAAGGAAGAUGAAACUGUUGAAACCCUUCUUUCAGGACAUAUUUAGCAGAGAUCCACAGUUAGCGGGGGCGUACUUCCAAGUGCAGUUCUUUGUGGAGGAGUUUGGACCGGUGGACAAGGAUGCUCCACUGCACGUGCUCCGUUACCUCAAGAGCACGCCGGCACUCUGGGAGUGCCAGAAGUACACGUACAUACCCGCCAGAACCAACCAUGUUUCGACACAUGAGUUUGAGCCGUACCCUGGGUAUUCACAGUCAGAAGUUGAUUCAGAAGAAGCAGUAAUCCAUCACUAUAGGAAGUGUUCACACAAAUGGCAUCAUUGCCCUCCUCCUGAUCACAUCACAGACAGGUCCAUCACGAGGUUCCAAACGGACCUUGUUCCUCGGGUGAAGGACGUUCUCAGCAAACUAAGACUCUAAAACAGAGAUAUGACUCCUUCUACUCAGUUGUAGAGUGUGUCGCUCGCUGUUAUUCGGCCUCCACUGACGCAGCAGACAGGUGUCGCGUCUUCUCAUGGCGUCCACAGGCAAGCUCACGGCUUGUACCCUGGUGCUCCUGGCAACAGUUGGUUUGACGAAAGGGUUAUGCACCAAAGAGGAGCUGGACACACUAGUGGAUUGUUUUCGGUAUUAUAUUCCUGGUUUGGUGUCAGCACUUGGUAAAUUCUGGAUUUGUGAUCGGUCUCUCAUCAAUGCCAACUUGUGCAGUUACUACGCAUCCAUAGUCGAGUGCACCAACAACGCCAAUGUCUCCAGCAUCACCUGCAGACCUUUGGGAUUGACCAGAUUGAUGCUCUUCGGGUUAUUCCGUGCAAGAUAUACGACUUUCAGGUGACUUGUAGUGCUGCUCCGAAAAUUGACACAGGUGGCUGAACAAACAUCACUGCAGGAGAUCUUUCCAUUAUGGCAGCAGGUUUGUUUUUUUUUUUUUUUUUUGAGAAUGAGCCUCCAGGACAAUACCAUACAACAACCUUCAGACUGCCUUUUCAGACUGUGUUUUUACGUUACAAUAUGCCCUUCUUGUAUUGUGUUUUCAUAAGUUUGUACAGUAGUCGUUGAUCAAGCAUUAUCAUAAGCUUUUAUUUCUACUUCUGUUACAUAACAUUAAACUGUAACAUUUGUAUUAAGCUUUGCGUUAACUUUCUAACAUUUUUUAUUGGUUUUAUUGUCGUUGUUGUUGUUGCUGUUGUUGUUCGGUUUUUUUGUUUUUUUUUUUUGUUUUGCUUUGUUUUGCUCUUUGCUUUGCACUCGGAAGAAUGUUGACUGAUCACGCAACAUGCUAAACACGUUUUCUGCCUUCAGCGUACUAAUCUUAGUUUUUAUUAUUUUUCGAAUAAUGAUCUGCUCUAUUAUUUACAUUAAACAUGUUUGCUGGACAUUAUUCAUUUGACUGAACGUACAAUGUUCUGCGUUUUUUACCGUUUAAAAGAAACUUCACUAGUGUUCAGCAACGGAAAUACAGUUAACAAUAUGAUCAGGGGAGACAAAUCAGUACAGAUUUGAGUAUCGCGUUUGUCUCCCAUACAUUGCUCUACUUCAAGAUAUAAACUGCAUUAAAUAAAAUUUACCGAAAAGUGAACUGGAAACAGGAGAAAUCCAUAGAAACAAAUUCAUUACUAUAAUAAAAAAAAUUGAGGAAGGCAUGAAAUUUCCUGUUACACUCAUUAAAUAAUCGACAAGCGGCAUAGAAGUGUUUGUUUCAUUACUGUUCCUAAUGAGAUUAUCACUUCGAUAAUAUUUGUUGCCUAAUAAAACAUAAGGCCUAUGAAAGGGAGACAGAAAGAUAUGUAGACAGGUAAUGAAGCAGGCACAUAUGAUAGCGUGGUUUUUCACUUUCGCGCGCGCACACACACACAUCUUUCAUUCAUUUUUUUUUUUUUUUUUAUUUUUUUCUUAUUCAUUUUUCUCGAUUUCUGUUCCUUCCUCAUUUACAAUUCAUUUUAUUUUUCCCUUUAUUGUUCACCUUUAAUUUCCCUCCUUUGCUUUCUCGUGUAUUUUUUGUGCGCUUGUGUUACUUUCUGAUUUAAAACCCCAUGUCUGAUGAAUAUUUAGAUUUAAACAUUUAUUUCAUUAUGUUUUUGUUGUUUUUUUUUUUAUUUUAUCAUCACGAUUUGAAUUAGUUCGGAUAUGCACUAAUCACAAUUUGACUUUUUUUUUUUGUCUUGCACUUUUCUUCACUUCUUUUAUAGUUAUUGUUUAAAUACAUACUGCAAAAAAUAUUGCUAUAUUUUUGGUAUCUUUUCUUGUUAAGUGUCGCUGUAAUAUCUCAAUGAUCAUUGAGUCCUGUAAAUAUACUAACAAAUCAAGGAUCGUAAAGAGUAUAUCUCAUAGAAGGUCGGUAUGUAGGAAUUUACUAAACUUCAAAUCAUUUCUUCGAGAAACAAAUGCGAUGUAGCCUUAGAUAUUUUAUGACGGCGCUUUUGCCUCUAGAUGAUGUUACAAAGGGACAGGUGUGCUCUCGAAUUUUCAUUCUUACCUGUUUUACAUUAGCAGUGAUAUAAAAGUAAAAUGCAAAGUUCUGUGCGCGUGUACUGUACAAAUCACACAUUAUUGUAAUUAAAAGAAAACAUAAAAAUGGUUUGUGUACUGUAUUUUUUCUCUUCAUUGUUACUGUUUUACUAUCACAGUUUAUUCUGUUUCCUUAACAUCACUUGGUUUUUCAGAUGCUUUAUACCUAUUUGCUAUGUUUAGUAUUUAGUGCAUUGUCUUAAUUUAAUUUUUAUUCUUUCUAUCGGUUAUUACGUGCGGUAAAUUUGGCUACCAAAAACACUGUAAAACGGGGUUCUUUUUCAGUAAACUCAAGAUUUAUAUGAUUUGAUCUAAUAUCAAUAAUGUAUAAUCAAUGUCUUCAUUUUUUUCUGCGCAAUGAGCAUUCUUCUGAAUGGAUACCUGCGCAUUACAAAUCGACAUCAUCAUCAUCAUUCAUAACGCAAUACCUUGUAGUAUUGUAACGAAAAAAACGUGAAUAUUUUAAAAAAAAAUCUUCCGGCUACGGUAGCAUGACAAUAUCAUUUUGCGAUGAAAUGUUCUUAAUUGUUCGAAAUGUUUUCUGUCAAAGUUGUCAACUUUUAAAACAUCACAUCCUUUCACAAAAAUACACAAACAAAAUUUGAGGAAUGAGAGUUUUAAAAAAUAAAUAGAAUGCGAUUUUUGAUGUCAGCACCUUUCCUACUUCGUUCUAUGACAACAAACAAGAAAAGUGAACUAAAGACUUUAAAAUAUUUAUUCUGGCAAGUUCUCACAUCUCUCUAACACUGCCUUUUUAUGCCCUCCUGUAAAAUGUGUUUCUCUUUUUUGUGUCUAUGUUACUGAAUGGUUUUUUUUUUUUCUCUAUCCCAUUCGUAUUCCUCUCCUUCGCUCUUUCUUUACCUUCAAUUUUUCCUUAAAAAUACUUUUUAAAAAAAAUCCUGGAUGAACAUGUUGUGAUAUAAGAAUUGAUGCCAGUUGCUAUGUCAACCCCUUAUCCUAGUCUUACGCCAUUCGCAAAUUGACGAAUUCCUAUAUCGUCUGUCUUUCGAACAAACGAAGCUGUUUAUCAGUUGAGCAGACGACGUCAAGUCAACAGUCGAGUCAGCAGUUGAAUCCCAACCAUGCAGCUCUCAAAGACUCUCCCGAUUUCGGUCUUCAUGUUAUUAUUAUCAGCUGGAAUGAUACAAGGACAGUGUGAUAAGGCGGAACUUAAAACUUUAAUGGAUUGUGUCUCGUCUAACGGUCGCACGAUAAGUACAGCUUUCCAAAACCAAACUGUCUGCGAUCCAACAAGAAUCACCGCGGAAAUAUGUCGUGCCUACUCCAAGAUUGUGAACUGCACUAACUCUGCCGAUGUCUCCACUAAAACAUGCAGGCCUUUCGCCAUGGGACAGAUUACCUCAGUUAUAGGUACUCCGUGCACUGUGUACGAAUUCAUGACAACGUGUGACACGGCUCCCUUGAUCGACAUAGGAAACAAAGACAGUGGAAUGGAGUCCAUCCAUGCUGUUGGUGUCGUCAAGCUGUGUCACGUGAUUGCGGUUUUUCUUUAUCUCAUGAAGAAAGCCUUUGAAGUUUGAAGAACCUUGUAAAGCCCAUGCUCAACGUCGUUACAGAAACCUUCAGAAGAUGAAUUUUAAGAUAUGUUUAUUCCAAUGGUAAACCGUCUUAGACUUCUUUAUUUAGUGGUUGAGUUCAUUCAGGCUUGGCAGAUCUGCUACCCGAGGGUAAAGGCUAAACUGAGCAGGCCUACCUGUACCCUUUAUUUAGCCAUGAAGCUAUCAUAGUGGCUCCAAAAGAUUUUGUUGUUGCUGUUUUUUUUUACUUCAUUUUAUAGGCAGCAGAAGUAUGAUAAACAUAAGUUUUGAUUUAGUUCAACAAAAGCGAACAUUUCGCAUAGAAGCACAACUUUUUUUUUGAAUCUGAGUCAUACAUUGAAUCGAAACUUUUUUGCUAAUUUCACAGUUUCUUUGUUUCAAAUAAAGAGAAUGCAUAGAAAUUAC
rnacentral:misc_RNA from 1 species